GUCUGUUCUGCCCGUUGAAUGUAAAAUUUGAAAGGCCGCAGUAUCUUGACUGUGCAAAGGUAGCAUAAUCACUAGUUUUUUAAUUGAAGGCUUGAAUGAAUGAUCGGACAAGAACUAAACUGUCUUUCUCGAUUAAGAUUGAAUUUUAUUUUUAAGUGAAAAAGCUUAAAUAAAUAAGAAAGACGAUAAGACCCUAUAAAUCUUGAUGUAAUUUAGUACUUAGGUUUAAUAUAUAAGGUUAAGUAAAUCCUAAGUGCUGAGUCAUUGUGCUGGGGCGGUAGAGAUAUAAUAAGUAAACUGUCAUUUAUAUAAAACAAAUAUAUUUGUGUGUAAAAGAUCCUGACUACGGAUUAAAAGAGAAAGUUACUUUAGGGAUAACAGCAUAAUUUCUUUUGAGAGUUCUAAUCGAAAAAGAAGCUUGUGACCUCGAUGUUGAAUUAAGGAUCCU
rnacentral:rRNA from 1 species